rnacentral:lncRNA from 1 species
CUGACUUCGCUCCCUCUCUCCCGGAUCCUGGCACUGUUAUCUCAAGAAAUGGCUUCUACAGAACAAAUAAACAACUGUUCUUCCUCUUGUCUUGAAAAUACAUCCACGGCAAGAGUUCCUGAAAAGGGAGGAAGGGUGACUUAUCCAGCAGCCCAGCUGGGGGACUCCUUGAACUACAGCCAGAAGCUCGGCGCUCCGACCCAAGGAUUAGUCUCUGGAGAAUGGAGAGGAACCUCUGGGUCUGGGGAGAAGGUCUCAGCUUUGUCCUGGCACCAGGCACUUAGUUUUCCACCAAGUUUAUAUUACGCUAGCCAGAGAGAUGUUUGGCAAUGUUUUAUGGCUCAAAUAUUUCUGCCAGCAUCUUUUUAGGCCAAGCAAUUAGUAGUUGCUUUCUCUUUGCCGAAGUAAUGGUGUAUAAAUCUGAAACUGGAAUAUGUUUCCUUAAAGUAAGGAGAAAGAAGAUAACUACCACGUUCAAAUCGGGGGUUUCCUCGAGAUUGGUGACUGCGUAUUCUGCAUUAUGACUGAAGAUCCGACCUCCGCUUCCUUGUGAGGUGGCGUGGCUCUCCUUUGCCGCGUAGGAAGUUGGGGAAGUGGCCUCACCAGUGUGCUCCAGCUCGUGUCCUAACAGAGAGCCAUGGCUAUUGACAGGGAGGAGAGUCUUCCCAGCUGCUAAUGGAGCAGACCGUACGCACAGCAAGGCAGCCGUGUGUGGAGAAAGAGUAGCCGUGACCCAAGAUCCCAUCUUUCCCUCACUCCAAGACGGAGAAGCCCGUGCGUGAUGGCUGGGUAAAG